rnacentral:tRNA from 1 species
CGUGCGGGUGGCGCGGCAGGCGCGCGCGCCGGUGCCGGGCGCGCGGCGCGCUCCAGCAACAGUUCGAGUUCGGCCCGCACGGC